rnacentral:tRNA from 1 species
ACACAGAUAGUAUACAAGUACAGCUGCCUUCCAAGCAGAAAGCCCAAAUUUGGUCAGUGUA